rnacentral:rRNA from 1 species
GUAGGUGGCAAGCGUUGUCCGGAAUUAUUGGGCGUAAAGCGCGCGCAGGGCGGUCCUUUAAGUCUGAUGUGAAAGCCCACGGCUCAACCGUGGAGGGUCAUUGGAAACUGGGGGACUUGAGUACAGAAGAGGAAAGCGGAAUUCCAAGUGUAGCGGUGAAAUGCGUAGAGAUUUGGAGAAACACCAGUGGCGAAGGCGGCUUUCUGGUCUGUAACUGACGCUGAGGCGCGAAAGCGUGGGGAGCAAACAGGAUUAGAUACCCUGGUAGUCCACGCCGUAAACGAUGAGUGCUAAGUGUUAGGGGGUUUCCGCCCCUUAGUGCUGCAGCUAACGCAUUAAGCACUCCGCCUGGGGAGUACGGCCGCAAAGGCUG